rnacentral:rRNA from 1 species
AGGAUGAACGCUGGCGGCGUGCCUAACACAUGCAAGUCGAACGUCCUGUCUCGCAAGAGGCAGGGAGUGGCGGACGGGUGAGUACCACGUGGGUUAUCUACCGUGAGGUGAGGAAUACCGGCGAGAAAUCGCCGACAAGACCGCAUAGCCUCGGUGCAAGCCGAGGAAAGCUUUCUCGAGAGAGGGAGCGCCACACGAGGAGCCUGCGCCCGAUUAGCUAGCUGGUGGAGUAACGGUUCACCAGGGCGACGAUCGGUAGCUGGUCUGAGAGGACGAUCAGCCACACUGGGAUUGAGAACGGCCCAGACUCCUACGGGGGGCAGCAGUGAGGAAUUUUCGGCAAUGGGGGCAACCCUGACCGAGCAACGCCGCGUGCAGGACGACGGCCUUCGGGUUGUAAACCUCUUUCAGCAGGGAGAAGCCUUCGGGUGACGGUACCUGCAGAAGAAGCACCGGCUAACUACGUGCCAGCAGCCGC